UUUCAUAGACACGGGUGCUCGGUGAAAAUCCGGGCUGAGAUCUGGCAUAGCCACGACCGUCGAACCUGAUCCGGAUAAUGCCGGCGAUAGGGAGGAAAAAUAUGGCUAGU
rfam:Corynebacterium glutamicum ATCC 13032 DNA, complete genome.